GACGAACGCUGGCGGCGUGCUUAACACAUGCAAGUCGAACGGAAAGGCACUGCUUUUGUGGGGUGCUCGAGUGGCGAACGGGUGAGUAACACGUGAGUAACCUGCCCUUGACUUUGGGAUAACUUCAGGAAACUGGGGCUAAUACCGGAUCGGAGCUCCUGCUGCAUGGUGGGGGUUGGAAAGUUUCGGCGGUUGGGGAUGGACUCGCGGCUUAUCAGCUUGUUGGUGGGGUAGUGGCUUACCAAGGCUUUGGCGGGUAGCCGGCCUGUGAGGGUGACCGGCGACAUUGGGACUGAGAUACGGCCCAGACUCCUACGGUAGGCAGCAGUGGGGAAUAUUGCACAAUGGGCGGAAGCCUGAUGCAGCAACGCCGCGUGCGGGAUGACGGCCUUCGGGUUGUAAACCGCUUUCGCCUGUGACGAAGCGUGAGUGACGGUAAUGGGUAAAGAAGCACCGGCUAACUACGUG
rnacentral:rRNA from 1 species